rnacentral:rRNA from 1 species
GGGGAAUAUUGGGCAAUGGGGGAAACCCUGACCCAGCAACGCCGCGUGAGGGAAGAAGGCCUUCGGGUUGUAAACCUUUGUCCUUAGUGAAGAGCAGAAGACGGUAGCUAAGGAGGAAGCCCCGGCUAACUACGUGCCAGCAGCCGCGGUAAUACGUAGGGGGCGAGCGUUGUCCGGAAUGAUUGGGCGUAAAGGGCGCGUAGGCGGCCAUGCAAGUCUGGAGUGAAAGUCCUUUUUUCAAGGGAGGAAUUGCUUUGGAAACUGUGUGGCUUGAGUGCAGGAGAGGUUAUCGGAAUUCCCGGUGUAGCGGUGAAAUGCGUAGAGAUCGGGAGGAACACCAGUGGCGAAGGCGGGUAACUGGACUGCAACUGACGCUGAGGCGCGAAAGUGUGGGGAGCAAAC